rnacentral:rRNA from 1 species
UACAGGGGGGGCAAGCGUUGUUCGGAAUUACUGGGCGUAAAGGGUCUGUAGGUGGCCAACUAAGUCAGACGUGAAAUCCCUCAGCUUAACUGGGGAACUGCGUCUGAUACUGGUUGGCUUGAGUGCAGGAGAGGAAUGCCGGAAUUCCAGGUGUAGCGGUGAAAUGCGUAGAUAUCAGGAAGAACACCGAUGGCGAAGGCAGCUCUCUGGGACGGUACUGACGCUAAGGCGCGAAGGCGUGGGGAGCGAACAGG